rnacentral:rRNA from 1 species
UAGAGUGCGGCAGAGGGAGGUGGAAUUCCACGUGUAGCAGUGAAAUGCGUAGAUAUGUGGAGGAACACCAAUGGCGAAGGCAGCCUCCUGGGCCGGCACUGACGCUCAUGCACGAAAGCGUGGGGAGCAAACAGGAUUAGAUACCCCUGGUAGUCCACGCCCUAAACGAUGUCGACUAGUUGUUGGGGAAGGUACUUCCUUAGUAACGUAGCUAACGCGCGAAGUCGACCGCCUGGGGAUACGGCCGCAAGGUUAAAACUCAAAGGAAUUGACGGGGACCCGCACAAGCGGUGGAUGAUGUGGAUUAAUUCGAUGCAACGCGAAAAACCUUACCUACCCUUGACAUGCUAGGAACCCUGCUGAGAGGCGGGGGUGCCCCGAAAGGGAGCCUAGACACAGGUGCUGCAUGGCUGUCGUCAGCUCGUGUCGUGAGAUGUUGGGUUAAGUCCCGCAACGAGCGCAACCCUUGCCGCUAAUUGCCAUCAUUCAGUUGGGCACUUUAGUGGGCUGCCGUGACAACCGG